ACUGUUGUGAUGAGCCUUAAAAUCUCAUAUUGGCUUCAGCCCAGAGAUUGCUUUGAUUUUUCUAUGCAAUACUCCUGUUAGGCUUGGCUUCUGAGCAGC
rnacentral:snoRNA from 1 species